UAGGGAAUCUUCCACAAUGGACGCAAGUCUGAUGGAGCAACGCCGCGUGAGUGAAGUAGGGUUUCGGCUCGUAAAGCUCUGUUGUUAAAGAAGAACGUGGGUAAGAGUAACUGUUUACCCAGUGACGGUAUUUAACCAGAAAGCCACGGCUAACUACGGGCCAG
rnacentral:rRNA from 1 species